ensembl:snoRNA SNORD42 Small nucleolar RNA SNORD42
GUGCAAAUGAUGUGAACAUUCUUUACCACUGAGUAAAGUGAUGUUUCCAAAGGAACCACUGAUGCAC